rnacentral:rRNA from 1 species
GAUGAACGCUGGCGGCGUGCCUAAUACAUGCAAGUCGAGCGAACAGACGAGGAGCUUGCUCCUCUGACGUUAGCGGCGGACGGGUGAGUAACACGUGGAUAACCUACCUAUAAGACUGGGAUAACUUCGGGAAACCGGAGCUCAUACCGGAUAAUAUAUUGAACCGCAUGGUUCAAUAGUGAAAGACGGUUUUGCUGUCACUUAUAGAUGGAUCCGCGCCGCAUUAGCUAGUUGGUAAGGUAACGGCUUACCAAGGCAACGAUGCGUAGCCGACCUGAGAGGGUGAUCGGCCACACUGGAACUUAGACACGGUCCAGACUCCUACGGGAGGCAGCAGUAGGGAAUCUUCCGCAAUGGGCGAAAGCCUGACGGAGCAACGCCGCGUGAGUGAUGAAGGUCUUCGGAUCGUAAAACUCUGUUAUUAGGGAAGAACAAAUGUGUAAGUAACUAUGCACGUCUUGACGGUACCUAAUCAGAAAGCCACGGCUAACUACGUG